UGGGGAAUUUUGGACAAUGGGCGAAAGCCUGAUCCAGCAAUGCCGCGUGUGUGAAGAAGGCCUUCGGGUUGUAAAGCACUUUUGUCCGGAAAGAAAUCCUUGGCUCUAAUACAGUCGGGGGAUGACGGUACCGGAAGAAUAAGCACCGGCUAACUACGUGCCAGCAGCCGCGGUAAUACGUAGGGUGCAAGCGUUAAUCGGAAUUACUGGGCGUAAAGCGUGCGCAGGCGGUUUGCUAAGACCGAUGUGAAAUCCUCGGGCUCAACCUGGGAACUGCAUUGGUGACUGGCAGGCUAGAGUAUGGCAGAGGGGGGUAGAAUUCCACGUGUAGCAGUGAAAUGCGUAGAGAUGUGGAGGAAUACCGAUGGCGAAGGCAGCCCCCUGGGGCCAAUACUGACGCUCAUGCACGAAAAGCGUGGGGAGCAAAACAGGAUUAGAUACCCUGGUAGUCCACGCCCUAAAACGAUGUCAACUAGUUGUUGGGGAUUCAUUUCCUUAGUAACGUAGCUAACGCGUGAAGUUGACCGCCUGGGGAGUACGGUCGCAAGAUUAAAACUCAAAGGAAUUGACGGGGUCAUAGCUGUUUCCU
rnacentral:rRNA from 1 species